UCCUUAGAUGUUCUGGGCCGCACGCGUGCUACACUGAGUGGAUCAGCGGGUCAGGUUGCGCGAAAGCGUUUCCUAAUCUUUAAAUCCGCUCGUGAUGGGGAUUGACGGUUGCAAUUUUCUGUCAUGAACGAGGAAUACCUUGUAAGCGCGGGUCAUCAUCCCGCGCUGAAUACGUCCCCGCCCUUUGUACACACCGCCCGUCGCUCCUACCGAUUGAGUGGUCCGGUGAGGCUUUGGGAUCUGAGCGGAAAGAGCGUUUCGCUGUUUCUGCUCGGAAAACUCAGUCGAACCUUAUCAUUUAGAGGAAGGAGAAGUCGUAACA
rnacentral:rRNA from 1 species